CUUCUUCGGGGACGGGUGAAAUUCCCUACCGGCGGUAAAGCCCGCGAACUGAGCCAACGCUCAGCCGAUCCGGUCCAAUUCCGGAGCCGACAGUACAGUCUGGAUGAGAGAAGA
rnacentral:ncRNA from 1 species